AGGAAAACUGCUUCAUUCCCCUGCAAAUCACCCAGGAAAAAUCUUCAAUCCUUUUUGACAGAAAGGCAUAAAAGAUUUUACCCAAAAUACUAAGAAAUGUGAAUGGUUCACAGCUGCAGAGGACUUUACUGACUCUGAAAGGAAAAGAAAUGCUGUACUGAAGUUUAAAUAUAUUUCAUCCUUCAUACAUACACAGUCACCCGCAGAACCUCACUUCAGGAAUUACUUGAGAUUGAUGCAGGCAUGAACAGUCAGCAGCCUGGAAAAACAGCUUACAACUCCAUUAACCCUACCUGCAAAUCCCAAAGUUACCUUUUGUAUCAUUAGAUCAUCAUCUGGGAAAGAGGACGAGGUUGCUUUCCUCUGUGUGUUUCUUUUCGGAUUCCUGCAUCACUAUGGAGUAAAUAUUUUCAUCCUAUAUUUUUGGACUUUAGUUCUUGAUGUUCCUUUAUAGAUGAGAGAAUAUUGUACGAAUACAUCAAGCCACCUCAUCAUUAUGGACUCCCUCCAGAGAACUUCUCCAGCAGCUGGUGUGCUAACCAGUGGUCUGUCAGCAAGACUGGUGCCAAUCAUGUGUGCCAUCUCACGAUCAUCACCUUAGUAGCACACUUUGGCAAGCAAAUUUCAUGGAUCAAUAUUUGGAUUUUUUUAAAUGUUUGUUUUGUACAACAGUUAACUCAAUGGAAAUUCCAAGUCCAUAUAGAGAACACUAUGAUACAGAUAUGUGAGUGAUUAUAGUCACUUUAAAAUCAGUGGGGAAACAUCCAGUCGAUAUUAAAGUUGCUAAAUUUCUGACCCAAUUUAAAACCUUUAAGUGGCAGUGAUUUAUCUUACACUCACAAAUUUUUGUUCUGAGCUGCUAUGAUUUUUUUUUUAAUUGCUGCAGGACAUAAUGGCAAACAUCAAAUGUUUUUAAAGCCUGACUCAAAAUUGUCUCUAUUGUCAAUAACAUCUUCAUUUUUGUAAAGGAAAAAAAAAUUGUUCUGUGUCUUUCUCUAAUAAGUGCUUUGGGCUAAAGUGCAUGAGACUUUUAUUUAAUAUUUGUCUAAACAAUUUGGCUGUUCUUAUACCUGCACUUUGGAGCUUCUGCACUGUGACAGAAAAUUUAACUUCACAUUUAACUUCAAAAGCAAAAAUAAGAACUUUUGCAGCCUGAUUUACACUCUGGGAUCUUGUGUAAAUUUAAUUUCCAUGAAUGAGAGACUUGAAAAAUACUGAAAACAUCACUGCUGUGAUCCAUGAUACUGCAAAGAAUUCUGGCAAACUCAAAACUCUUAACAGUCUUGGGGUUCACCAGAUUCUGUGAAUAAUGUUUCAUUUCACAGACAUUGGCUUUGUGUACAAAUAUGUUCAUCUUUCUAGCCCAAAUGGAACACGACUGUCGGCAAGCCACACCAAAGAAGUGAAACCAUUGACAUUACUUAAUGUGUAGGAAUGAGAUUGCUUGUUAUUAGCUUUGAGUUUAUCACUAGCUCUGUGUCUGCCUGUACAGAUCACUUAACUUCUUGAUAUCUCUACAUGCCAUUGGAAAAAAAAAAAAAAAAGAUUGGAAUCUAGCAAAUUUAACAGAAAGUAAAUGGACUUCAAGGCAAAGAUGUCAGCUAUUAGGCCAUGAAGCUGUUCACUCUUUCUCUCUUCCUCCAAAAAUUUUGUGCAUUCACUGAAAAAAAAAGAUUAGUAAUAUCAGGAGAUGUUGUCAGCUCUCAGUUCUGGAAUAUUUAAUCCCAAAUUGAAGAUCAUCUUAAUAAAGGGAAAUUAACCUCUGAAGCAAAGGGGAGAUUUAAGCCUGCCCCCCUCAUGCCUUGAAUGGAUUUUCAGGCAGGAAAGGGGCUCAUUCCUCCAGCUGGUAUGUGAAUAUUUCUUUUGCUUGUCCCUGUCUGUCUUGACAUGACUAAAAAUAUAAUGUCUCAAAAAUGUCGAUAGAGUUUUUUGUGUAAAUGCUGAAAUGAACUGGUUUUACAUUUCCCUAACAUAAAUAUUUGGAUUCAGACAAAAGUAAUUACAAAUUCAAUGAAAAUUAUAACUAUCCUGCCAGAGGUGCAUUGCUCAAUUCCACUUGUGACUUUCACAUUUUUACCAGCUUUUAGAAAAGUUUCUUUAGAAACCUUGAUGAAGUUCCUAGUUAUUGAGAAACUGAUUUUAUGAUUGUUGUUAGCCUCAUCAUUAGUUAAUGAAGUUUUCAUUUGAUUCCUAAACAUCUAGACAUAAAGUUUUCCCUUUGUUAAGUGCCUCAAAAAUUCAUAAUCUGUGGACUGCCUAAGUCUUGUGGAGAUGUAUUUAUCACUAAAGUGUUUAUUCUCUACUUUUUAUUUAAAUAAUUUUUGUUAGUGCAUCUGGAUAAGUUUUUUGAAAAACAUCUGUGUUUACAGUUUUAUUGUUUUUCACUUUACUCAAACUAGUAUGUAACUAUAUGAAUAGGUAUGUCUUUAUGCAUUAUGCAUAAGCCUUAUGGAACAAUACAUAAUGCAUAAGAACAAACACAUUGAGUCCUAUUCACUCCUUACUGUAGAAAAC